GCCCUGGCGCCUGGCGGGGAAAGCCAUGCUUCUGUUAGGGUUCAAAUGGGCACGGGGGUUCAAGCAGUGAAGAACAGAGUAGAAUUGGGGAGCUUUGUGGCCAAGACAUAGGAGAUGGUAGGAUGAUCUACAGAUCCAUACUGUUGUUGAGAGCUGCAAAGAGUGAAAUGAAGGCUCAAUGGAGGCCGUGUUGAGUGAGUCUCACGGGAGAGCAUCCUGUCUAGGGACACAGGACCGUCAGCAACAAGAGCUGCUCCAUCAUUGCUAAAGGGAGACAGAGACAGAUACACAGAGAAAGAUCAUUCAUCGGCUGGUUCACUACCCAAAGGCUCUCACAAGCCAAGGCCGGCCCAGGCUGAAGCUGGGAGUCCCAUAACGCCAACAUGGCCGUCAAGCACUGGACUGGAGCCGUCACCUGCUGCCUCUCAGAUGCCAGAACCACCUGACCAGGAUGAUGAGAAUGAGGAGUUCUCUGUGAACUUUGUGGGCAAAAUGAGGCUUUGAAGUUACUCCAGUGAGAAGCUUAUGCACAAGAAGACAGAGCAUCCACUGAACUUACUGCACCUGCUCUACGGGCUGUCAGGAAGCCUGACUCUGGAGGCCCCACAAGAGGGUUCUGAACUGGCCAGGUAGGCCUAUCCCAUCACUGUUCAAGACCACCUCAAGUCAAAACUGCCGGUGAUGAAGACUUCCAGGAUCUCCUGCCUCCUCUUCCUCUCAUCCCCCCACCCCAUUCCAAGUGUGGUCUUGGGGCUUGCAGACAUCUCAGGGCCUGCAACCUCUACACGCCCAUGGUGUCAGUUGCAUUAUUCAGCCUCAACGUGGAUACACCAUAUUAGGAGGUCAUGCUGGCCAAUGGCACCAUGGAAACUGCCCCCAUUAACACAGUGCAAAGACACCUCUGGCCCAGGGGAUAUAAGAUCACUUCAGCCCAAGGUGCCAGUCCCUGACCUCGGGAAACUAGACCCUGCUCUGAGAUCAGCAUCACCCUUCCUUCUGGCAGGGCAGCCAGGAGAACUAAACACCUUUCCAUGAACAAGAACAUUCAUACUUGGGUCAGAGACACCGCCAAUGCAGACAAGCUUCUUCCCCCGCCAGCAGAACAGUGGGCUUCCUUUCUAAUGAUGCUGAAUAAAUCUGUGAGGUGCAGGCGGUGCGUGAGGUGGGUGCUGGAGGGCCCGCUGGACAUGAACCAGUGGAUACCCAGGAGCCAGCAUGCCUGCAGCAGUCCCUGUAUAGAACAAGCAUCUCUGCGCUGCCUCUCUUCAUCUAUGGCAAAGCUCAAGUCUGACUCUUGGCCAGUGCAGUGUCUCAGCUUGGGCAGGGAGAAGCAGAGCUACUCAGUGCCCAGAACAGAGGGAUCAGGCCAGUGACCUCACCCUGACCAGACAUUGUGAAUGGCAUGAGUCUCAUUGACCAUUCUGGGGCUGGUCUCCUUGUCACGGGUGUGGGUGUGAGAAAUCCCAUUUGCCGGAAUGCUUGUGGAGAUGACACAGCAUGCGCAUGGGCUUGGCAAGCCUUUAGGCGAAUGCCUCUUUCUCCUCACCUGAUCAAUGAGACACAGAUGAAUGCUAUUUUUUUCAAGAUUUAUUUAUUUAAAAGGCAAAGUGCCAGAGAGAUAAAAAUAGACACACAGAAAAUGACCUUCUAUCCUCUGGUUCACUCCCCAGUUGGCCACAGUAGCCAGAAGUGGGCCAGGCUGAAGCCAGGAACUCUACCUGUGUCUGCCACAUGAGAGGCAGGAACUCCAGUACCUGAGGCAUUGCCUGCUGCUUUCCCAGGUGCAUUAGCAAGGAACGGAAUCAUAAGCAGAGGAGCCGGGACUUGAACCAGCACUCAGGUAUGGAACGGCUGCCUCAGUUCUUUGUCUCACGUGAAAAAAGAAUUUCCAAGCAGAUAAGGCAAAGGGAAAAGCAAGAUUCAAAGGUCUAAAACCAAGAUUUAUUAGAGUCAGAGGCCUCCAGCCAUAGUGGCAUGAAGGGGGCUCCAGGAGAAGCAAAACCCAGAGUGGUUGGUGGCAGUGGGAUUUUAAGCACAAUUUUGAAAAAUAAAAUAAAAUAAACUUGCCAAUCAGAUUGUCAUUCAGGUACAAGGCAGGGGCAAAACCCAUCAAAAGACCUG